AAAAAAAAAAAAAGGAAGAAAGAAAGGAAAGAAAGAAGGAAUAGUUUCUCUAUGAGCCUUUGAAUUAGAAUUUAACGUUGAAAAAGAGAAUUUAUAAGAAGAGAAAGAAUUGAAAGAGAGAAAUUUCAGAGGAAAGGAAGUUAUAUGUGAAAAGCGAACCAAAUACAAAUCCUAGCUCGAUUUGGAAAAUUGGUGAAAAAG
rnacentral:misc_RNA from 1 species